UACGAGGGGGGCAAAUGUUGUUCGGAAUCACUGGGCGUAAAGGGAGCGUAGGCGGGCUUCUAAGUUAGAUGUUUAAUCCCGGGGCCCAACCCCGGACAGGCACCUAAAACUGGAAGUCUUGAAUAGUGGAGAGGACGGCGGAAUUGGGGGUGUAGCGGUGGAAUGCGUAGAGAUCCCCAAGAACACCAGUUGCGAAGGCGGCCGUCUGGACACAUAUUGACGCUGAGGCUCGAAAGCUAGGGGAGCAAACGGG
rnacentral:rRNA from 1 species